CAGUCGCCGCGGUAAUACGUAGGUGGCAAGCGUUGUCCGGAAUUAUUGGGCGUAAAGGGCUCGCAGGCGGUUUCUUAAGUCUGAUGUGAAAGCCCCCGGCUCAACCGGGGAGGGUCAUUGGAAACUGGGAAACUUGAGUGCAGAAGAGGAGAGUGGAAUUCCACGUGUAGCGGUGAAAUGCGUAGAGAUGUGGAGGAACACCAGUGGCGAAGGCGACCCUCUGGUCUGUAACUGACGCUGAGGAGCGAAAGCGUGGGGAGCGAACAGGAUUAGAUACCCCCGUAGUCCCUGUCUCUUAUAC
rnacentral:rRNA from 1 species